GACGUAGGGCGCGAGCGUUGUCCGGAUUUAUUGGGCGUAAAGAGCGUGUAGGCGGCCAGGUAGGUCUGCUGUGAAAACUCGAGGCUCAACCUCGAGACGUCGGCGGAAACCAUCUGGCUAGAGUCCGGAAGGGGCGAGUGGAAUUCCUGGUGUAGCGGUGAAAUGCGCAGAUAUCAGGAGGAACACCAAUGGCGAAGGCAGCUCGCUGGGACGGUACUGACGCUGGAGGCGACGGAAAGCCGUGGGGAGCAAACAGG
rnacentral:rRNA from 1 species